UACGUAGGGGGGGCAAGCGUUUUGUCCGGGAAUUAUUUGGGGGCGUAAAAGCGCGUGUAGGGCGGUCCGGGUAAGUCGGCUGUGAAAGUCCAGGGGCUCAACCCCUGGGGAUGCCGGUCGAUACUGCCCGGACUAGAGUUCGGAAGAGGCGAGUGGAAUUCCCCGGUGUAGCGGUGAAAUGCGCAGAUAUCAGGAGGAACACCGGUGGGCGAAGGCGGAUCUCUGGGCCUUACCUGACGCUCAGGUGCGAAAGGCUAGGGGGAGCGAACAGG
rnacentral:rRNA from 1 species